AGUGAACGCUGGCGGUAGGCCUAACACAUGCAAGUCGAACGGCAGCACAGUAAGAGCUUGCUCUUACGGGUGGCGAGUGGCGGACGGGUGAGGAAUACAUCGGAAUCUACUUUUUCGUGGGGGAUAACGUAGGGAAACUUACGCUAAUUCCGCAUACGACCUACGGGUGAAAGCAGGGGAUCUUCGGACCUUGCGCGAUUGAAUGAGCCGAUGUCGGAUUAGCUAGUUGGCGGGGUAAAGGCCCACCAAGGCGACGAUCCGUAGCUGGUCUGAGAGGAUGAUCAGCCACACUGGAACUGAGACACGGUCCAGACUCCUACGGGAGGCAGCAGUGGGGAAUAUUGGACAAUGGGCGCAAGCCUGAUCCAGCCAUACCGCGUGGGUGAAGAAGGCCUUCGGGUUGUAAAGCCCUUUUGUUGGGAAAGAAAAGCAGCAGGUUAAUACCCCGCUGUUCUGACGGUACCCAUAGAAUAAGCACCGGCUAACUUCGUG
rnacentral:rRNA from 1 species